rnacentral:lncRNA from 1 species
CUUUAGACAAGGACAUGAAGCUUAUGUGCGAGCUGUAAGGAAAUCAAAAAUAUAUAGUGUUAAUUUACAAAAACAGCCAUGGAACAAAAUGGAUCUCAGGGAGCAAGAAUUUGUUAAGAUUGUAGGAAUCAAAUAUGAGAUUGGACCACCUACACUAUGCUGCUUGAAACUUGCAUUUUUGGAUCCAAUUUCAGGCAAAAUGACUGGAGAGUCUUUUUCCAUUAAGUAUCAUGACAUGCCAGAUGUCAUUGAUUUCCUUGUGUUACAUCAGUUUUAUAAUGAAGCCAAAGAAAGGAACUGGCAGAUUGGUGAUAGAUUCCGCAGUAUAAUAGAUGAUGCCUGGUGGUUUGGAACUGUGGAAAGUCAGCAGCCUUUUCAGCCAGAAUAUCCUGAUAGCUCUUUCCAGUGUUACAGU